AUUGAACGCUGGCGGCAGGCCUAACACAUGCAAGUCGAACGGCAGCACAGAAGAGCUUGCUCUUUGGGUGGCGAGUGGCGGACGGGUGAGUAACACGUAGGAAUCUACCCAGUAGUGGGGGAUAACCUGGGGAAACCCAGGCUAAUACCGCAUACGCCCUGAGGGGGAAAGCGGGGGAUCUUCGGACCUCGCGCUAUUGGAUGAGCCUGCGUCGGAUUAGCUAGUUGGUGGGGUAAGGGCCCACCAAGGCGACGAUCCGUAGCUGGUCUGAGAGGAUGACCAGUCACACCGGAACUGAGACACGGUCCGGACUCCUACGGGAGGCAGCAGUGGGGAAUAUUGGACAAUGGGCGCAAGCCUGAUCCAGCCAUGCCGCGUGGGUGAAGAAGGCCU
rnacentral:rRNA from 1 species